UACGUAGGUGGCAAGCGUUGUCCGGAUUUACUGGGCGUAAAGAGCGCGCAGGCGGCUGGCCAAGUCCGAUGUGAAAUCUCCCGGCUUAACUGGGAAACUGCAUCGGAAACUGACCGGCUUGAAGGUGGGAGAGGGUAGUGGAAUUCCCAGUGUAGCGGUGAAAUGCGUAGAUAUUGGGAGGAACACCUGCGGCGAAGGCGGCUACCUGGACAGUGACUGACGCUGAGGCGCGAAAGCUAGGGGAGCGAACGGG
rnacentral:rRNA from 1 species